rnacentral:rRNA from 1 species
UACGUAGGGGGCAAGCGUUUGUCCGGAUUUAUUGGGCGUAAAGAGCGUGUAGGCGGUUUGGUAGGUCCGCUGUGAAAACUCGAGGCUCAACCUCGAGACGCCGGUGGAAACCAUCAGGCUAGAGUCCGGAAGAGGAGAGUGGAAUUCCUGGUGUAGCGGUGAAAUGCGUAGAUAUCUGGAGGAACACCGGUGGCGAAGGCGGCAUCCUGGACCGGUAUUGACGCUGAGGCGCGAAAGCUAGGGGAGCAAACGGG